rnacentral:rRNA from 1 species
AUUAAACGCUGGCGCAUGCCUUACACAUGCAAGUCGAACGGCAGCACGGGGCAACCUGGUGGCGAGUGGCGAACGGGUGAGUAAAGCAUCGGAACGUGCCCUGGAGUGGGGGAUAACGUAGCGAAAGUUACGCUAAUACCGCAUAUUCUGUGAGCAGGAAAGCAGGGGAUCGCAAGACCUUGCGCUCUGGGAGCGGCCGAUGUCGGAUUAGCUAGUUGGUGGGGUAAAGGCCUACCAAGGCGACGAUCCGUAGCGGGUCUGAGAGGAUGAUCCGCCACACUGGGACUGAGACACGGCCCAGACUCCUACGGGAGGCAGCAGUGGGGAAUUUUGGACAAUGGGCGCAAGCCUGAUCCAGCCAUGCCGCGUGAGUGAAGAAGGCCUUCGGGUUGUAAAGCUCUUUCGGCCGGGAAGAAAUCGCAUGGGUCAAUACCCUGUGUGGAUGACGGUACCGGAAUAAGAAGCACCGGCUAACUACGUG